rnacentral:rRNA from 1 species
UGGGGAAUAUUGGGCAAUGGGCGAAAGCCUGACCCAGCAACGCCGCGUGAAGUAUGAAGGCCUUCGGGUUGUAAACUUCUUUGAUCAGGGAAGAAACAAAUGACGGUACCCGAAAAACAAGCCACGGCUAACUACGUGCCAGCAGCCGCGGUAAUACGGAGGUGGCGAGCGUUAUCCGGAUUUACUGGGUGUAAAGGGCGUGCAGGCGGGCUGAUAAGUCAGAUGUGAAAUCCCCGAGCUUAACUCGGGAACUGCGUCUGAUACUGUUGGUCUUUGGUGCUGGAGAGGGUAGUGGAAUUCCUAGUGUAGCGGUAAAAUGCGCAGAUAUUAGGAGGAACACCAGUGGCGAAGGCGGCUAUCUGGACAGUAACUGACGCUGAGGCGCGAAAGCGUGGGUAGCAAACAGG